GUAACGGCGAGUGAAGCGGCAACAGCUCAAAUUUGAAAUCUGGCUCUUUCAGGGUCCGAAUUGUAAUUUGCAGAGGAUGCUUUGGGUGCGGGCGCCUUUCCGAGUUCCUGGAACGGGACGCCAUAGAGGGUGAGAGCCCCGUCUGGUAGGAUGCCCAGCCCGUGUAAAGCUCCCUCGACGAGUCGAGUAGUUUGGGAAUGCUGCUCUAAGGGGAGGUAUACUCCUUCCAAAGCUAAAUACCGGCUGGAGACCGAUAGCGCACAAGUAGAGUGAUCGAAAGAUGAAAAGCACUUUGAAAAGAGAGUCAAAUAGCACGUGAAAUUGUUGAAAGGGAAGCGCUCGCUACCAGACUUGGGUACGCGGUUCCGUAGGUGCUCCGCACCUGCGUACUCCUCGUGCCCAGGCCAGCAUCAGUUCUUCGUCGGGUUAAAAGGCUUCGGGAAUGUGGCUCGCCUCGGUGAGUGUUAUAGCCCGUUGUGUCAUGCCCGGUGGGGGACUGAGGUACGCGCUCCGCAAGGAUGCUGGCGUAAUGGUAGCUAGUGACCCGUCUUGAAACACGGACCAAGGAGUCAACCUUAUGUGCAAGUGCCCGGGCGUAAAACCCCAGCGCGGAAUGAAAGUGAACGUAGGUGAGAGCUUCGGCGCAUCACCGACCGAUCCUGAUGUCCUCGGACGGAUUUGAGUGUGAGCAUAUAGGGUUGGACCCGAAAGAAGAUGAACUAUGCGUGUGUAGGGUGAAGCCAGAGGAAACUCUGGUGGAGGCUCGCAGCGGUUCUGACGUGCAAAUCG
rnacentral:misc_RNA from 1 species